rnacentral:snoRNA from 1 species
UAAGCAGAGGUUGUGUGUAUCAGCUUUGUGCCUUUUCACAAUUGCACUUUUAUUGAAAGAGUUCUUUGCAAAACUAUAUAUUGGGGAAGAUGGGCAAUUGUGUUUCAUCCUCUUCCAACCCGUCUUUAGUCAUUU